AUUGAACGCUGGCGGCAGGCCUAACACAUGCAAGUCGAACGAGUGGCGGACGGGUGAGUAAUGUCUGGGAAACUGCCUGAUGGAGGGGGAUAACUACUGGAAACGGUAGCUAAUACCGCAUACUAUCAGAUGUGCCCAGGUCGGAUUAGCUAGUUGGUGGGGUAAAGGCCUACCAAGGCGACGAUCCGUAACUGGUCUGAGAGGAUGAUCAGUCACACUGGAACUGAGACACGGUCCAGACUCCUACGGGAGGCAGCAGUGGGGAAUAUUGGACAAUGGGCGCAAGCCUGAUGCAGCCAUGCCGCGUGUGUGAAGAAGGUCUUCGGGUUGUAAAGCACUUUAAGUGGGGAGGCGUUACCAGCAGAAGAAGCACCGGCUAACUUCGUGCCAGCAGCCGCGGUAAUAC
rnacentral:rRNA from 1 species